AUCUGUCCGCUCCGGCACUCCACAUUCUGCCGAGAGCGGGACGAAAAAAGGAGGAGAACCCCGCCUGGCUCGCGGUGCGGCAGUGUGGAGACCUGCCGUAAUGCAUCCGCGCUUCGCGCGCCGAUGUGAGGUCCGGGCAAGCGGAGGCUCCCGGAUCAGAGCCGGUAGCAUGGCA
rnacentral:ncRNA from 1 species